UACGAAGGGGGCUAGCGUUGUUCGGAAUUACUGGGCGUAAAGCGCACGUAGGCGGAUAUUUAAGUCAGGGGUGAAAUCCCAGAGCUCAACUCUGGAACUGCCUUUGAUACUGGCGACCUUGAGUCCGGGAGAGGUGAGUGGAACUGCGAGUGUAGAGGUGAAAUUCGUAGAUAUUCGCAAGAACACCAGUGGCGAAGGCGGCUCACUGGCCCGGUACUGACGCUGAGGUGCGAAAGCGUGGGGAGCAAACAGG
rnacentral:rRNA from 1 species